GCUCAGUAAAACUGACGUAGUAAAUGCUUUCAAACUACUUCCCAUUCACCCUUCACUAUGGCAUCUAUACGGCAUUAAGUGGCAUGGGUUUCUAUUAUUUUUUCACACAACUCACUUUUGGCUCCAAAAGCAGCCCCCAAAUUUUUUACACGUUUGCAGAAACUUUGUGUUGGUCAUUGCUUAAUGUGUGCAGAUGUCCUUCCGUUCAC